rnacentral:lncRNA from 1 species
UUUCUCUACAACUAUUUUGUGGGAUUUCUUUUUGUCUGAAUUUCCAGAAAAGUCAAGGUGACCAGAACUUUCCCUGAUGGUUUAGAAAUUUGGGCAUAAAAUUAAGACACUGCAUCUUUUGUACUUUCAACAAAAAUUGUCAGUGAGCAACAAUCUACUGAUAAGCCUGUGAACAGAAAUCAAGCUGAAUAAGAAUGAGAAAUGGAGAAGACAAUAAAUCUGGGUAUUAAAGGGAUGAUGCUUUGUUG